rnacentral:rRNA from 1 species
GUAGGAGGCAAACGUUAUCCGGAUUUACUGGGCGUAAAGCGCGUGUAGGUGGUACUGUAAGUAGGGCGUGAAAGCUCCUGGCUCAACUGGGAGAGGCCGUUCUAAACUACAGGACUAGAGGAUGGUAGAGGGAGGUGGAAUUCCAGGUGUAGCGGUGGAAUGCGCAGAUAUCUGGAGGAACACCGGUGGCGAAGGCGGCCUCCUGGACCAUUCCUGACACUCAGACGCGAAAGCUAGGGUAGCAAACGGGAUUAGAGACCCCGGUAGUCCUAGCCCUAAACGAUGUAGACUAGGCGUCGGAAGCUUAAUCGCUUUCGGUGUCCAAGCUAACGCGAUAAGUCUACCGCCUGGGGACUACGGCCGCAAGGUUAAAACUCAAAGGAAUUGACGGGUCCCCGCACAAGCAGCGGAGCGUGUGGUUUAAUUCGUUGCUACACGAAGAACCUUACCUGGGUUUGACAUAGCAGUGGUAGGGAAGCGAAAGCGGACCGACCCUUCGGGGAGCUGUUACAGGUGUUGCAUGGCUGUCGUCAGCUCGUGUCGUGAGAUGUUCGGUUAAGUCCGCUAACGAGCGCAACCCGCGUUGUGUGUUACAAGUGUCACACAAUACCGCCGGUAUUAAGUCGGAGGAAGGUGCGGAUGACGUCAAGUCAGCAUGACCUUUAUAUCCAGGGCUACACACACGCUACAAUGGUCAGCACAAUAGGUUGCCAAGUCGUGAGACGGAGCCAAUCCUCCAAAGCUGGCCUCAGUUCAGAUUGCAGGCUGCAACUCGCCUGCAUGAAGUUGGAGUUGCUAGUAACCGCAGGUCAGCUAUACUGCGGUGAAUACGUUCCCGGGGAUU